AUGAAGGAGUUUUCGGACCGCCAUUUCUGGAAUGCUGCUGCAUCGGUCAGAGGUGGUCACCGAGUCUCGCCGUAAGAUGGAGUGAGGAGUUGUCGAAUGCACCGGCCGAGCCAUGGAGGAGUUUAUCUCUGACUCUCUUUCCUGGGUUGUCGAUUGACUGGACUCAUGGCUGUCUCCUUUUUGGGUAGCCAUGGAUUGAUUAGGGUUUUAGAGCAAUCCGUGCUCUGAUACCAUGAAGAAACUGAGAAUCAUUUAAUUGUAUAUUCAAUCGUGUAUUUUUUACAUAAUCGGGUCCCUAUUUAACGUAUACACAGAGAGCAAAA